rnacentral:rRNA from 1 species
GACGAACGCUGGCGGCGUGCUUAACACAUGCAAGUCGAACGGAAAGGCCCUGCUUCUGUGGGGUGCUCGAGUGGCGAACGGGUGAGUAACACGAGAGUAACCUGCCCUUGACUUGGGGAUAACUUCAGGAAACUGGGGAUACUACCGGAUAGGAGCUCCUGCUGCAUGGUGGGGGUUGGAAAGUUUCGGCGGUGGGGGAUGGACUCGCGGCUUAUCAGCUUGUUGGUGGGGUAGUGGCUUACCAAGGCUGUGACGGGUAGCCGACCUUAGGGGGUGACCAGGGACCAUACGCCUGAGGUAGGCAGCAGUAUCCUACGGUAGACAGUAGUGGAGAAUAUGGUGCAAUGGGGGGACGUCUGUUGAAGCAACGUCGCGUGCGGGAAACCGGGCUUCGGGUGGGAAACGUCUGUGGGCUGAGACGAAGAGUGAUUGACGGUAAUUAGUCAAGAAGCACCGGCUAACUACGUG